GCAAGAAAAAUAAAUAAAUCAAACGUGUGUUCACAUACUAGGAAUGGUCAAGCCUAAUUGUGGAGUGAUUUUGCCCAGGGGCCAGUGUCUCUCUCCCCCUAUUCCUUCAUGCCCUGACUAAUCAAGAAUCUAUCAGCCUCUGACACAUCGAAGUGGAAAAUAUUUCAGCUUCUUUGUGCAAAUGAAGCACGGUAUUCCACGCAUUACUUAGUAACAGGGCUAUUUCCAGGCUGCGGCUGAAUCAAAACAGAGGCACAGCAAUGACAAAUCACACAGAUGCACAUUAAUCCUCCCUCUUCAAAGCUACCCUUUGAUGAGUAUCAGAUGGCCAUCUUAAAUAGGCCUUGGCUGUCACUUGCAAGAUAGCCUACCAAGGACUGUAGCUUUCCUUUAUCAUUGAAAGGUCCUUUAAUGUAAUAAAAUAGAAUUUUGCAAAACCCAAAAGAAAUAUAAACUUUCAAGUGAGUGCAAGCUUUGGUUCUAAGAGUUCGGGUAUCUAGUGAAGAAUCUGGCAGCUGAUGGGCAUCAGAAAUUCACUAUGUAGUUUUCAGGACACAGUAGGAUUAAAGCAAAUCAAGUUUUUAGUUAUUUUUGGAUUGUUUGGAAAAUGUAUCUGAACUUUAUAAUAAUGCAUCUGCAAAAAUAAUUAUUGUGAUAUUUAAGGAAAAGAUGGCAGAAUAUCUACCAAUUUGGUGAUAUUUAAUAAUACUAAGAAAUUGCUGUCCACUGGUGAACUUGCCAUAUUUUCCAUGGUAAAGGAAAACAAAAUGUGCUAAAUUCUGUUUCAGUCUUUCCUGAAUUCACCAUAUCAUCAUUGAUAUAAUCAGAACAAAGGCUUCAAAGAUAACAAAAACAUAAAUUAGAUAGCGAUAAUCUAGUCUGAUUUUGAAUGCGGAGAUAAUCUGAAUAAAAAAAGACCAAGAUAUAGGAGCAGAAUUAGGCCAUUUGGCAUAUCGAGUCUGCUCUGCCAUUUCAUCAUGGUUGAUCCAUUUUCCCUCUCAGCCCCACUCUCCUGCCUUCUCCCCUUAUUCCUUCAUGCCCUAACUAAUCAAGAACCUAUCAAUCUCUGACUUAAAUUAAUCUAAAGACUUGGCCUCAACAGCUGCCUGUGGUAAUGAACUCCACAGAUUCACCAGUCUUUGGCUAAAGAAAUUUCCUCAUCUCCGUUCUAAAACCACACCCCUUUAUUCUGAGGCUGUGCACUCAGGUCCUAGACUCUCCCCCUCCCCCCCAUAGGAAACAUCCUCUCCACAUCCACUCUAUCAAGGCCUUUCACCAUUCCAUAGGGUUCAGUGAGGUCAUCCUCAUUCUUCUGAAUUCCAGUGAAUACGGGCACAGAGCUAACAAUUGCUCUUCAUAUGACAACUUUCAAUCCCAGAAAAAUUUAUUAAAUGGUUCCGUGUUAACGUAUUUGAUGCAUCAACUAAAAAGAGAAUAUUUAUCAAAUAAUUUGACUUAAAAACUAUUUAAUCAGAAAAGCAAAAAUACAAGUCUUGACCUUUACACCGCAGUGUUUGCAUUACAAUAUUUUUUCUAUAAACCACAUUGUAAAUAUUGUCAUAGUUCACACAACAAAGUUGUGUUGCUAUUAAUCAAGUAGUUAUUAUAACUUAAUACUAAAACCAACCAAAGCAAUGAAAUAUUCUACUAAAAAUAUGUCUAUCCUUGAAAUUUCUAUUACUUCUUCAACAUUAAUGUCUGCUCACAGGCACAAUUGAAAAUGCAGUCUAGGAAAUGAUUACAGUCUAAAAUGUGGCAUUAAAGUUUUGAGAAUAUAUAUAUAUACCCUGGCAUAUGCUUAUUAUUAUGUUCAUCUAAUUGUUAUCUUAAUGUUAAGAGAUUGAGAUAUUUUAUCCUAAUAUUGGAAAGAUUUCAGAAGCAAAGUAUUUUUGAACAAAAUUAAUGGUUGCUCUCUGCACUCCAAUACUUAGCAUUAAAAGUGAGUACAGUUUUCAAGUCAAGUUCAAGUUUAUUGUCAUCUGGACUGUACAACCAAAUGAAACAACUUCCACCCCAGACCACAGUGCACCCAUAAAUACAUACAUCACACAGAACACAUCAAAUAUUAGCCCAAAUAAGUUAUUAAAUUAUAAUUCAAAAUGCAUGUAAGUGCACAGUAAAGAUAAACAAUAAACAUCCAUCCUAGUGAUGAGACUCAGUCGUGGCAGAAGGCGUAGAGGAAGAAGCUGUUAACCGGUCUUGCGGUCCUAGUCCUGAUGCUCCUGUACCUCCUUCCUGAUGGUAGUGAGUGAAGGAGGUAGUGGGAUGGGUGGUAGGGAUCCUCAACAACACUUCGAGCUCCUUGUACACCACGCUCCCAGUAAAUGUCAGAAAUAGGGGACAGGGAGAAAUACUCUUUGGAAAAAAAUCAGCAAACACAUGUUAAGAAUUAGACAAGUUUACUUUUAACAUUUCUUUAUUAUUAUCAGAGUAAAACCUUGGGACCUAAUAACAUUGAUUAUUAACAGAUAUGGAGCUGAAGUCACUCAAGUGCAAAAGCCAACUAAAUUCUGUCAACAAGCCACAACAUACUCGGAUCACAAGUGCUUCAGCAAAAACAGCUUUUUAUCAGAACCCAUAGCUCACUGGAACUGCUUGUCUACAUGCAAGCAAUUAAUUCAAUCAUUCUCCAAACAUCUUUUCUCUAAAGAAGAGUCUCCAAGGAUUUGAAAGUAUAUAGAUCACACACUUUAGCUAUGCUAGUUGGUUGUGAUCUUAGCCUAGUUAUAUCAACUAUUACCACAGAAACACACAUGGAAUUUCAAACUAAUGAUUAUGGAUUAAAUGGCAACCCCCUCUCAUUUCAGAAAUGUUUAACAUUAAUGUCUGAAAUCAGGAUACAUUUUCACUUUAAUGAACUUUGGUGCCACAAAAAAAACCUAGUUUUUGAACCAAAACUCCAGUUACAUGUGAAUGCCUAACCAGUUCGAAACAAUGAAGAGAAUGUGUUUAUUUCAACAAUACCUUUCUUUGUUUUGAACAUCUUUGAAAAGUAAUCAGUUUUCAUCGCCAAAUAAUCAUAAAACCCCAAAAUAGUAAACGAUAAAAUGUCUAAGCACCACCAUAAUUACACCAACUUAAAUAAAUCGAGAAAGUCAGAGAACCCCGACUCACAUGCAUAAAACUAAGUUCCCACUGGCAGGCUACUAAGUAAAUGCGCCUGGCUUUGGGAGAAUCUGGCCACAACCGUGACAGUGUAUCGAAGUACCAACUUUAAUUGAUUACAUUUACUCCGGUGUUCUGAAACGGAAUGGCAGCGACAUUUUAUCUGAAGAGGACACACAAGGAAGCGGGCGACAGUGAUUCGGACCUGUCCCGCACGGUCCUCCGGCAAUGGACAGAGCUGCUCUUAUUAAUCUGUCAACCAGAUGGUGUCAUGAAGAGUUUCACACCAAUGACAAUCCUGGCUUCUCCUUAUCAGAAGGGGUGAAAAGAAAGACAAGAGAGCUUGCUGGUGGCGAUCCUAAUCGCAGAAGAUGUGGAUCGAAGUCACUUUCCGGAUAUUUUUUGUACAACAGCGCCGUCGCCUUUACUCUCUCUCAGGUGGGCAGAAAUGGAUCGAAUGGCACAACUUUAAUUGAGAACGGGGUCGGGAAGUGGGUGACCUAUCACUCUGACCUGGCCAC